rnacentral:tRNA from 1 species
ACGGAUAUAGUUCAGUGGUAGAGCAUUUGCCUACCAUGAAUAAAGCUCUGGGUUCAAUGCCCAGUACCAUUA